GGCUGCACGAUAUGGGAAUUUUGUGCGAUUGUGAUUAGGGCUCUAAAAAGUGCGAUAAUGAUAUGCGAUGUGAUAUUUUAAGGGAAUUGUGCUAGAGGUCUAUUUGCUUGGAUCUUCCCAU